rnacentral:rRNA from 1 species
CCCUUAGAUGUUCUGGGCCGCACGCGUGCUACACUGAGUGGAUCAGCGGGUCUGGUUGCGCGAAAGUGUUUCCUAAUCUUUAAAUCCGCUCGUGAUGGGGAUUGACGGUUGCAAUUUUCCGUCAUGAACGAGGAAUACCUUGUAAGCGCGGGUCAUCAUCCCGCGCUGAAUACGUCCCUGCCCUUUGUACACACCGCCCGUCGCUCCUACCGAUUGAGUGGUCCGGUGAGGCUUUGGGAUCUGAGCGGAAAGAGCGUUUCGCUGUUUCUGCCCGGAAAACUCAGUCGAACCUUAUCAUUUAGAGGAAGGAGAAGUCGUAACA